AGAGUUUGUUCCUGGCUCAGAUUGAACGCUGGCGGCAGGCCUAACACAUGCAAGUCGAGCGGUAGAGAGAAGCUUGCUUCUCUUGAGAGCGGCGGACGGGUGAGUAAUGCCUAGGAAUCUGCCUGGUAGUGGGGGAUAACGUUCGGAAACGGACGCUAAUACCGCAUACGUCCUACGGGAGAAAGCAGGGGACCUUCGGGCCUUGCGCUAUCAGAUGAGCCUAGGUCGGAUUAGCUAGUUGGUGAGGUAAUGGCUCACCAAGGCGACGAUCCGUAACUGGUCUGAGAGGAUGAUCAGUCACACUGGAACUGAGACACGGUCCAGACUCCUACGGGAGGCAGCAGUGGGGAAUAUUGGACAAUGGGCGAAAGCCUGAUCCAGCCAUGCCGCGUGUGUGAAGAAGGUCUUCGGAUUGUAAAGCACUUUAAGUUGGGAGGAAGGGCAGUUACCUAAUACGUGAUUGUUUUGACGUUACCGACAGAAUAAGCACCGGCUAACUCUGUGCCAGCAGCCGCGGUAAUACAGAGGGUGCAAGCGUUAAUCGGAAUUACUGGGCGUAAAGCGCGCGUAGGUGGUUAGUUAAGUUGGAUGUGAAAUCCCCGGGCUCAACCUGGGAACUGCAUUCAAAACUGACUGACUAGAGUAUGGUAGAGGGUGGUGGAAUUUCCUGUGUAGCGGUGAAAUGCGUAGAUAUAGGAAGGAACACCAGUGGCGAAGGCGACCACCUGGACUGAUACUGACACUGAGGUGCGAAAGCGUGGGAAGCAAACAGGAUUAGAUACCCUGGUAGUCCACGCCGUAAACGAUGUCAACUAGCCGUUGGGAGCCUUGAGCUCUUAGUGGCGCAGCUAACGCAUUAAGUUGACCGCCUGGGGAGUACGGCCGCAAGGUUAAAACUCAAAUGAAUUGACGGGGGCCCGCACAAGCGGUGGAGCAUGUGGUUUAAUUCGAAGCAACGCGAAGAACCUUACCAGGCCUUGACAUCCAAUGAACUUUCUAGAGAUAGAUUGGUGCCUUCGGGAACAUUGAGACAGGUGCUGCAUGGCUGUCGUCAGCUCGUGUCGUGAGAUGUUGGGUUAAGUCCCGUAACGAGCGCAACCCUUGUCCUUAGUUACCAGCACGUCAUGGUGGGCACUCUAAGGAGACUGCCGGUGACAAACCGGAGGAAGGUGGGGAUGACGUCAAGUCAUCAUGGCCCUUACGGCCUGGGCUACACACGUGCUACAAUGGUCGGUACAGAGGGUUGCCAAGCCGCGAGGUGGAGCUAAUCCCAGAAAACCGAUCGUAGUCCGGAUCGCAGUCUGCAACUCGACUGCGUGAAGUCGGAAUCGCUAGUAAUCGCGAAUCAGAAUGUCGCGGUGAAUACGAUCACCGGGCCUUGUACUCACCGCCCGUCA
rnacentral:rRNA from 1 species